UUUUUUUUUUCUUCUAAAUAGCCAUUAAUAUGUUCUGAGAGAUGCUGAGCUAAGCUCAUUCCAUUACUUUACAGAUGGAAAACUGCAGCCCAGAGGAAGGAAUCAGCAUACUCAGGGUAGAGAAACAGAGCGGUGAUGAGAAGCCAGCCUUCCACCAUUUCCGGGAGGCUGGAAAAAAUGAUGAAAAAAUUGAGCCAAGGUGGAAGGGGUUUACCCAGGGACCCCCAAUCUCCUGGACACAUCUAGGCCUCUGCAGAGUGGUAUGCUAAAAAAAAAAUAUUGGAUGGCCUACAAGCAAGCAUCUGAUCAUGCACUGGGUUUAGGAAUGACACCUAAUGUACCCCAAAUGGCUCAUUUAUUAUUUUUAAGAUGUGUUAAAAAAAUAAAAAUAAAAAUGUUUUAAGUAGCA
rnacentral:lncRNA from 1 species